rnacentral:rRNA from 1 species
GACGAACGCUGGCGGCGGGCUUAACACAUGCAAGUCGAACGGAAAGUCCCUGCAUUUGUGGGGUUCUCGAGUGGCUAACGGGUGAGUAACAAGUGAGUAGCCUGCCCUCUACUGUGGGAUAACUUCAGGAAACUGGGGCUAAUACUGGAUAGUAGCUUCUGCUGCAUGGUGGGGGUUGGAAAGUUUCGGCGGUUGGGGAUGGACUCGCGGCUUAUCAGCUCGUUGGUGGGGUAGUGGCUUACCAAGGCGUUGACGGGUAGCCGGCCUGAGAGGGUGGCCGGCGACAUUGGGACUGAGAUACGCCGCAGACUGCAACGGGGGACAACAGUGGGAAAUAUUGCGCAGUGGGCGGGAGCCUAAUGCAGAAGCGCCGCGGGCGGAAAGACGGCUUUCGGGGGGUAAACCGCUUACGCCUGUGACGAAGCGUGAGUGACGGUAAUGGGUAAAGAAGCACCGGCUAACUACGUG